GCCGAGAUGUGGUGAUCCGCUGCUUAAUAGUGUACUUCUCCGAAAGUGUAGAUGAUCUUAUUAAGGAUUACCAUGGUGCUCCAUCUGAUGAAGUAAAAGAGGAUCUUGCACAGCAUACAAUCAAAAUUGUCACCAAAGGUGGUUCUACGGAGGAUGACCCGUUGGAUGUUGGGAUUGUGCUGGAAGGCAGAGAAGUACUGUCUGGGUUGUCCAGUGUAGCAAGGGUGUGUGCCUUGUUACUAGGUCUGAUCUAUGCUGUGAACCUUAGUUACCCCAAACAACUCAGGUACACGUUUGAAUUUUGUCAAAAGAU